rnacentral:rRNA from 1 species
UACGGGGGGGGCAAGCGUUGUUCGGAAUUACUGGGCGUAAAGGGCUCGUAGGCGGCCAACUAAGUCAGACGUGAAAUCCCUCGGCUUAACCGGGGAACUGCGUCUGAUACUGGAUGGCUUGAGGUUGGGAGAGGGAUGCGGAAUUCCAGGUGUAGCGGUGAAAAUGCGUAGAUAUCUGGAGGAACACCGGUGGCGAAGGCGGCAUCCUGGACCAAUUCUGACGCUGAGUGAGCGAAAGCCAGGGGAGCAAACAGG